AUUGAACGCUGGCGGCAUGCCUUACACAUGCAAGUCGAACGGCAGCACGGGUGCUUGCACCUGGUGGCGAGUGGCGAACGGGUGAGUAAUACAUCGGAACGUACCUUAUCGUGGGGGAUAACGCAGCGAAAGCUGUGCUAAUACCGCAUACGCCCUGAGGGGGAAAGCGGGGGAUCGAAAGACCUCGCGCGAUUAGAGCGGCCGAUGCCUGAUUAGCUUGUUGGUGGGGUAAAAGCCCACCGAGGCGACGAUCAGUAGCUGGUCUGAGAGGACGAUCAGCCACACUGGGACUGAGACACGGCCCAGACUCCUACGGGAGGAAGCAGUGGGGAAUUUUGGACAAUGGGGGCAACCCUGAUCCAGCAAUGCCGCGUGAGUGAAGAAGGCCUUCGGGUUGUAAAGCUCUUUUGUCAGGGAAGAGACACCGGCUCUAACACAGUCCGGGAAUGACGGUACCUGAAGAAUAAGCACCGGCUAACUACGUGCCAGCAGCCGCCGUAA
rnacentral:rRNA from 1 species